UGGGGAAUUUUGGACAAUGGGCGCAAGCCUGAUCCAGCCAUGCCGCGUGCGGGAAGAAGGCCUUCGGGUUGUAAACCGCUUUUGUCAGGGAAGAAAUCUUCUGAGUUAAUACCUCGGGAGGAUGACGGUACCUGAAGAAUAAGCACCGGCUAACUACGUGCCAGCAGCCGCGGUAAUACGUAGGGUGCAAGCGUUAAUCGGAAUUACUGGGCGUAAAGCGUGCGCAGGCGGUUUUGUAAGACAGAGGUGAAAUCCCCGGGCUCAACCUGGGAACUGCCUUUGUGACUGCAAGGCUUGAGUGCGGCAGAGGGGGAUGGAAUUCCGCGUGUAGCAGUGAAAUGCGUAGAUAUGCGGAGGAACACCGAUGGCGAAGGCAAUCCCCUGGGCCUGCACUGACGCUCAUGCACGAAAGCGUGGGGAGCAAACAGGAUUAGAUACCCUGGUAGUCCACGCCCUAAACGAUGUCAACUGGUUGUUGGGAAGGUUCCUUCAAAAAUCAGUAACGUAGCUAACGCGUGAAGUUGACCGCCUGGGGAGUACGGCCGCAAGGUUGAAACUUAAAUGAAUUGACGGGGUCAU
rnacentral:rRNA from 1 species